AGAGUUUGAUCCUGGCUCAGGACAAACGCUGGCGGCGUGCGUAAAACAUGCAAGUCGCACGGGUGCUUUCGGGCACCAGUGGCAGACGGCUGAGUAACGCGUAGGAACCUGCCCCCCCGUGGGGAACAACUCGCCGAAAGGCGAGCUAAUNCCGCAUACGAUGGCCUUGGGUCAUGAAAGCCGUAAGGUGCGGGGGGAGGGGCCUGCGUCCGAUUAGCCAGUUGGUGGGGUAACGGCCUACCAAAGCAGUGAUCGGUAGCUGGUCUGAGAGGAUGAUCAGCCAGACUGGGACUGGGACACGGCCCAGACUCCUACGGGAGGCAGCAGUUAGGAAUUUUGGGCAAUGGCCGCAAGGCUGACCCAGCAACGCCGCGUGGGGGACGAAGGCUCUCGAGUUGUAAACCCCUUUUCCCAGGGACGAUGAUGACGGUACCUGGGGAAUCAGCCCCGGCUAACUACGUGCCAGCAGCCGCGGUAAUACGUAGGGGGCAAGCGUUGUCCGGAUUUAUUGGGCGUAAAGCGCGCGUAGGCGGCAGGCCAAGUCGGCCGUGAAAUCUCUCGGCUCAACUGGGAGGGGACGGGCGAGACUGGUCUGCUAGAGGCGGGCAGAGGGCAGUGGAAUUCCGGGUGUAGUGGUGGAAUGCGUAGAGCUCCGGAGGAACACCAGUGGCGAAGGCGGCUGCCUGGGCCUGACCUGACGCUGAGGCGCGAAAGCGUGGGGAGCGAGCCGGAUUAGAUACCCCGGUAGUCC
rnacentral:rRNA from 1 species